CUUUCAAAACUGCGGAUCUUGAGUGGUGUAGAGGUAGGCGGAAUCCCNGGUNNNGCGGUGGAAUGCGUAGAUAUCGGGAGGAACACCAGUGGCGAAGGCGGCCUACUGGGCACUAACUGACGCUGAGGCUCGAAAGCAUGGGUAGCAAACAGGAUUAGAUACCCUGGUAGUCCAUGCCGUAAACGAUGAUUACUAGGUGUGGGAGGAUUGACCCCUUCCGUGCCGCAGUUAACACAAUAAGUAAUCCACCUGGGGAGUACGACCGCAAGGUUGAAACUCAAAGGAAUUGACGGGGGCCCGCACAAGCAGUGGAGUAUGUGGUUUAAUUCGAAGCAACGCGAAGAACCUUACCAGGUCUUGACAUCCGAUGCAUAGUCUAGAGAUAGAUGAAGUCCUUCGGGACAUCGAGACAGGUGGUGCAUGGUUGUCGUCAGCUCGUGUCGUGAGAUGUUGGGUUAAGUCCCGCAACGAGCGCAACCCUUAUUGUUAGUUGUUACGCAAGAGCACUCUAGCGAGACUGCCGUUGACAAAACGGAGGAAGGUGGGGACGACGUCAAAUCAUCAUGCCCCUUAUGUCCUGGGCCACACACGUACUACAAUGGUGGUUAACAGAGGGAGGCAAUACCGCGAGGUGGAGCAAAUCCCUAAAAGCCAUCCCAGUUCGGAUUGCAGGCUGAAACCCGCCUGUAUGAAGUUGGAAUCGCUAGUAAUCGCGGAUCAGCAUGCCGCGGUGAAUACGUUCCCGGGCCUUGUACACACCGCCCGUCACACCAUGAGAGUCGGGAACACCCGAAGUCCGUAGCCUAACCGCAAGGAGGGCGCGGCCGAAGGUGGGUUCGAUAAUUGGGGUGAAGUCGUAACAAGGUAGCCGUA
rnacentral:rRNA from 1 species